GACGAACGCUGGCGGCGUGCUUAACACAUGCAAGUCGAACGAUGAAGCUGGAGCUUGCUCUGGUGGAUUAGUGGCGAACGGGUGAGUAACACGUGAGUAACCUGCCCUGGACUCUGGGCUAACCCCGAGAAAUCGGAGCUACUACCGGAUAGGACCUUGGAUCGCAUGAUCUGGGGUGGAAAGUUUUUCGGUCUGGGAUGGACUCGCGGCCUAUCAGCUUGUUGGUGAGGUAAUGGCUCACCAAGGCGUCGACGGGUAGCCGGCCUGAGAGGGUGACCGGCCACACUGGGACUAAGACACGGCCCAGACUCCUACGGGAGGCAGCAGUGGGGAAUAUUGCACAAUGGGCGCAAGCCUGAUGCAGCAACGCCGCGUGCGGGAUGACGGCCUUCGGGUUGUAAACCGCUUUUAGUAAGGAAGAAGCCGCAAGGUGACGGUACUUGCAGAAAAAGGACCGGCUAACUACGUGCCAGCCGCCGCCGUAAUAC
rnacentral:rRNA from 1 species